rnacentral:tRNA from 1 species
AUUCAUUUAGUAUAAAAAGUAUAUAAAGCUUCCAACUUUAAGGUUUAGACUAAAAUGAAUA